AGGUGCGGUGGCAAGUGCCUGUAUUCCCAGCUACAUGGGAGGAUGGAAGGAUGAGGUGGGAGGAUCGCUUGAGCCCAGGAGUUAUGGGCUAUAGUGCACUAUGCCGAUCGGGUGUCCACACUAAGUUCGGCAUCAAUAUGGUGACCUCCCGGGAGUGGCGGACCACCAGGUUGCCUAAGGAGGGGUGAACUGGCCUAGGUCAGAAACAGAGCAGGUCAAAACUGCUGUGCUGACCAGUAGUGGGAUUCUGCCUGUGAAUAGCCACUGCACUCCAGCCUGGGCAACAUAGCGAGACCGUGUCUCU
ensembl:misc_RNA Metazoa_SRP Metazoan signal recognition particle RNA